GGUCYCAUAGUGUAGUGGUUAUCACUUUAGAUCCUGAUUCUGGAAACCCCGGUUCGAAUCCGGGUGGGACCU
rfam:Brettanomyces bruxellensis AWRI1499 AWRI1499_contig387_scaffold4, whole genome shotgun sequence.